rnacentral:rRNA from 1 species
GUAGGGGAGCAAGCGUUGUUCGGAAUUAUUGGGCGUAAAGAGCGCGUAGGUGGGUUUGGCAAGUCUGUUGUGAAAGCCCAUGGCUCAACUGUGGAAUUGCGACGGAAACUGCCAGACUAGAGUGCGGGAGAGGAAAGCGGAAUUCCCAGUGUAGAGGUGAAAUUCGUAGAUACUGGGAGGAACACCGGUGGCGAAGGCGGCGUUUCUGGACCGCAACUGACGCUGAGGCGCGAAAGCUAGGGGAGCAAACGGGAUUAGAUACCCCGGUAGUCCUAGCCGUAAACGAUGGGCACUAGGUGUACGGGGGUAUCGACCCCUUCUGUGCCGCAGCUAACGCAUUAAGUGCCCCGCCUGGGGAGUACGGUCGCAAGACUA